ensembl:lncRNA
AAAGCAGAUCGAAUUUAAAAGUUGCCAAAACGCAUGUCUGAAACCUCGUUCUUAUUAGAAAUCGUUGACUUGUGCUGUUGUACACUAGCUUAUUUGAGUUGCCAAGCCGUCGCAUUCCCUUCCACCCAUCACUCUCAUCUGCUUUCACUACCUCUGACAGGCAAAUAACAUCAGGAAGCUACAGCGUCCAAGCUAUCCCCCACGCUCUCUCUGUCAUUUGUGAACAGCGUGCAGCCAGUGGUUUCUGUAAAGUAGUUGGCUGUGAAACAUCUACUGAGGGGAAACCUCAAUGAGACACUCUGUAAAGGCUCCGCUCGGCUUUUCCUAGAACUUGGAUGUUACAGUUCCAGGCUGCAAAGCCAUUGUGGCGUGUAUUUCAUUUCCUCCUCGAGAGGCUUGCGCCUCAUCUGGGCUUUAGACGGAUGCAGGUUUCAAUAUGAGGCAUUUCCAUCUGCGGAAAUUAAAGGGCGGGCACGGACUGAUCAUCAUUUUAAAACCAGUUUAUGAAUGUACACAUUUUAUGGAUUAAAGACAAGAACAUCCAUAACAUAAAUUACGACAGAAGACUCAUGGUUGAAUGUCGCAGUUAGGAUGGAUUUUUCUACAAAUGUUGAAGACGAAUGCUGUAUUUGCAGAUGUAGUCAUUUAUUACUAACAUCAUUCAAUGUUUAGAUUUCCUCAAGGAUCCUCCAAGGUGUUUCCAGAAUUUUCUUUAAAUGUCACAGAUUAUUCACAAAGGACUGCUGGUGCUAGAUGUCCGCUCGCCAUAUAUGCUAAUCGUGCUUCCUUUGUCGUCCCUGUGUUGACAGCUGUCGGAAACGGCUUCAUUGCGGAAGACGCACAAACCAUAGAGGACCAGAUGCAGUUGCCUGUGCAGACGGCCCUACUGGAUGAUCUCCAACGGGGAGCCAAUGAGGAGGCGGAGGCUGUGUUGGUAGCCCUGGAGGCCCAGGAGGAUCUUGGCUCUGGAGAAGAUCUCCUCACCGCCCUCGAGCCUCAACCAGAACCUGUCAGCCCUCUAGAGCCGACUCCAAAGGCUGGCUCUCUAGCUGAAGUUGCUACCGUGUCCCUGCAGCCUGUGGAGGAAGCUGUGCAUGUAGGAAGUGUAGUGCCUGAGGCUGCUGCGGAGGACCGAGUCCUUGUGGAGGCAUCAGAGGAAGUCCCUGCAGUUGAAGCCGUCGCGCAGACUGAGGCCCCUGCAGUUGAAGCCGUCGCGCAGACUGAGGCCCCUGCAGUUGAAGACGUUGUGCAGACUGAGGCCCCUGAUCGUGAAGACGUUGUGCAGACCUCCCCUGAGGCCGCCGCCCCUUUUGCUCAACUGGUUAUAUCUGAGCCAAGGGAGGCUUCAGCGAUUCUGGAAGAGGUGGCGACUGGGGCGGCCAAGAAUCCCGCUGAAGUACUCGCUCCUUUGGAGGCUGAUGCACCAGCCAAUGUCUCUACAGCGCCUUGUGAAGCUUUGGCACCAGCACCAAGUGAGGCUUCUGCAGCAGGUGAUGCUGCUGUUCCAAUUGAAGGUGUGGCAGCAGGUGAUGCUGCAGCUCUGGGUGACGGUGCAGCAGGAGGUGACGCUGCAGCUCCGGGCGAAAGUGCACUACCUGAAAAAGCUGAAUCCUCAGCCCCAGUAGAGGCAGCACAGCUUCUGAUAGAUACAAAGAUUGCUGCAGCAACUAUUCCAGAGUUGCCUCCAUUGUCUCCAGCCACCGCACCUCCUGCAGCCUCAGCAGAGAGCGCCCCACUAGCAGAACCCUCAUGCUCUGCUGAAGCCGUGUCUGCUCCAGCUCUAGGGGCUGAAUCUGCUGCUGUUGCGAUCCAGGACGCCCAAGUUCCAAAAGCUUCAGUGGAAACUGCAACCUCAGAGCCUGCAGCAGACUGUGCAGCCUCAGCGGAGGCUCCCGUGGUGGAGUCCACCCCAGCUGAAGCACCUUCAGCACCUGAGCCUUCACCUAAAGGUAUGUCAAUCUGA